GCGGUGCUGCGGGAUACGACAGAGAAGUAUUCCCGGGGCCUUAUCGAUCUCAACGGGAGCUGUCCCUGAUCUGGACCGUGGUCCUAGUCAUAUGGCGCCCACCUACUUCGUAGGUUUCCCGGGAUCGAAUCUCUGACGGUCACUGCGGCCCGCA
rnacentral:other from 1 species